AGUGAACGCUGGCGGUAGGCCUAACACAUGCGAGUCGAACGGCAGCACAGUAAGAGCUUGCUCUUACGGGUGGCGAGUGGCGGACGGGUGAGGAAUACAUCGGAAUCUACUUUUUCGUGGGGGAUAACGUAGGGAAACUUACGCUAAUACCGCAUACGACCUACGGGUGAAAGCAGGGGAUCUUCGGACCUUGCGCGAUUGAAUGAGCCGAUGUCGGAUUAGCUAGUUGGCGGGGUAAAGGCCCACCAAGGCGACGAUCCGUAGCUGGUCUGAGAGGAUGAUCAGCCACACUGGAACUGAGACACGGUCCAGACUCCUACGGGAGGCAGCAGUGGGGCAUAUUGGACAAUGGGCGCAAGCCUGAUCCAGCCAUACCGCGUGGGUGAAGAAGGCCUUCGGGUUGUAAAGCCCUUUUGUUGGGAAAGAAAAGCAGCAGGUUAAUACCCCGCUGUUCUGACGGUACCCAAAGAAUAAGCACCGGCUAACUUCGUG
rnacentral:rRNA from 1 species